AUUUGGGUUUUGAUAUGACGCUUUAUUGGCACAUGUUUGUGUUAGGACUGAUAAGUACUGCUUGGAUUUUUGCUUCUGGAUACCAAAACAAAUAAUUGAAGUUUCUUACUUCUGAAAGACAGAAUUAGUCAAACGUUGAUUUCUCCAUCCUCAGAAUGUCAUUUGCUUUUCUUUUUCAAACAGUUUUAGUUGGUAUUCUGUAGAAUUAUUGGGUGCAAUAUUUAUUCCAUAUCUUCAGAAAAUACAUGUUUCUGUAUUUUAAAACAAAGCCUGGUAAGAGCAAUUUAUCAGAGAAAGAGCAACUGCUCCCGUUUAUCGAAUUAUUAGUGGUUAAAUAAUUGAUUUAAUUAAUCAAUUGAAUAUAAGAAUUUAUAUUUAACCAUCUUCAAUUAAUUGUCUACAUCAAACAACUAUUUAGCGCCUAUUACUUCAACAUACAUCUAUAGAUGUAAUACAUGCACACAUUGAUAGUAUUGUAUCCGAGGGUCACUGGAUAUUUCAGAGAUUACAACACUGACCCUCAUCCAGGCAACCCAACUUUUGGUCACGCUUAGGCCGCACAUUCUCAAACUUCAGCAUUCAGUGGUUGGGGAACUUGGGCCCACUGGAAAUACUACUGACAACCAGUGAUGUUUAACAAGUGGAAGUUCAGGCCCUAGAGCCAUUGCUUUCCUGCAGUUGGGCUGGGCACUACUGCCUAGUGGCAAAUGCUACCGACUUGCUUCAGCUCUGAAAGAUAAAGAAGAAGAUGGAAAUGAUGAAUAAGAAGUGGAAUUUCUUAGGCUGUACAUUUAUUUUGUGUAAUUUUUUUCUAACCUCAGCUUGCAAAAAUAUCUACAACUGAGACAUGAGAAGUCAGUGGGUUGAGCUCAUAGCUUUUUAGAAAUCUAUUACAAUGUUUUGGAAUCUAUUAUUAGAAAUUUUUUUCUUUCUCAUAUUAAUUUAAUGCUAUGAUGUAAAUAAAUCAAAUAAAAAGAAUACUACAUAUAUUUGCAUAUGCACAUAUUGAGAAAGACACACACACACACAUGCACACAUAUGUAGUAAUGGAAAAUGGACAUAAGAUGAUGAUGAUUUUUAUUUAAAUCUGAGGAUUCCAAACUUGGCUACACUGAGGUUCAUGUUUCUAUUUUUCACAAUAUUGAAGUAUAGAUAGAUAUACUGCCUCAAUGUAGUUUCAUCUGACCCAUGCAAGCAUGGAAAAGUAGACAAAAACAUAAUGCUGUUACUGGUCUAGUCAAUGGCUUUUCAACAAAGUGGGUUGGCAGUUUAUUUCUGGCAAAAAAAAGACACUUUACUUUCAAUGGAUCAGUCCACUUAAUAGUUGUAGUUUAAUCUGUAUUUGACAAUGGGAAACCACUCACUGGUUCACAUGAAAAUUCACUCUUUAGUACUGUCUCUUACAGUACUAAAGUCUUUUAUAGGACAGCACAUAUAUAUGAAGUACUUAUAAAUACAUGUAGUCAUAGUGUGUGUUGUAUAAUAUGUUGAAUUCCCAUUUAGAUGAUAUCUUUGGACCAAGCUUGAGUUUGAUUCCAUGGCAGAUGUUUUGCAUUGUAUUUGUGCAGUACAUUUAAUUCUAUAUGCCACUCUGUUAAUAGGAAUAAUAAGAUCUGGUGAUCUGGAAAUGCUGUUUGCAAUAGAUUGGUAGAGAGAUAACUAAGAACUGGUGCUUUUUUUUUUUAAUCUUUUAGUUGGGAGGAAAGGCAGUGCCUGUGACACUUUAUAGGCCUGCCAAAGUAUCCUUAAACUGGAGAUGGCCUAAAUGCUUGCAAUGUAGUGGACUCUGCUAGAAGUACCCACGGGUGGCACUAAGACCUAUUUUCUGAUAUUAGAGGUCAAGCGAUACUUAUAACUGAAUGCAAAUCUUGAAGUUAACAUUACCUUUCAGUCAUCAUUUGGGAAAGGUGGGAGAUUGAUAAAAGAAGUGAAUUUCCAAUUUAAGUACAAGGUCUGCAGUUUUGAGAGAAGGGAAUUAGUUGGUACCAUCACCCUCAGUACUGACUGGUAAUUUAUUAACCCUGAAAGGAUGAAAGGCAAAGUUGACUUCAGCGAGAUCUGAACUCAGGAUGUAAAGAGUUAGGACAUAUAUUACGAAGCAUUUUCCUUGAUGCUCUGACAGUUCUGCCAGCUUGCUGCAACCCUAUCAACGAAACCAUUGACAGUUCUUAUUUAUGAUACACUAGAAUUGAUUCAAGUAAUCAUAUUGAAUGUUAUUUACAAAAGAUGAGUUUUUUGCUAAGUCAAAAGAAAUUGCCAUAUUUUGGUAUUUUUUAAACAGAGAAAGAAAUGAGCUUUAAUAAUGACGAUAUAACUUUCGUGUACAUUUAUAUACACACUUGUAUUGAUGUGAAGAAUAAGUUUCUUUCAGAGAAAUAAUGCUACAGGUAUAACCCUUUUAUGACCAAAUCUCUAACAAAAGUAAAACGAACUGCAUAUGUGUUCCAUUUAAUUUUCAAAAUAAUCAAGGAUUGAGUGAGAUUUAGUGAAAUAACUGUAAUGUUUUUCAGUUUAAAAUAUUGGCAUAUUAAGCUGAUGUUUGGAAUGCAAUUUGCAAAAGACAAAUGUUUACCUACUAUUUUGAACAGGUGGAUUGUUAUAGAAAAGGUUAAAUGUCAAUACAGAUCUUUUGGCUCUGAUCAUUGACUUGCUGUUAUUCUUCUGAUGAAAUUGUAUCAUUGCACAUUUGCCCACAAAAAUUGUAAUGAAAGCAAGAAUUUUUUACCUUAUUAACUGAGACAAGAAGUUUUUCUCUAUGAAAAGAUGUGAGCUAAGCUUUAAGCUGAUUCCUUUCACAGACAAAUCCUUUCUAAUCUCACUCAGCAGUGUACUGCUGUGACAAAACAACAACAAAACCAAGAAAAAAAAAUCUGAGUGUUGCUAUCUAACACUUAUCAAUAAUUCAGUACCAUUGUUGCAAUAAGUUGCAUUUCCCAAUUGUACCCAUUUACAUAUGAGUCAACUAGGCAAUUAAGACUCAAAUAAUCCUCCCAAGGCACAGAAUGUUGAUGAUUAAUCCUUUUGCAACAUUAUUAACUUUAUUAGCAAGUUUUCAAUGAAGGAAAUUCAACACCCAGUUUCAAUUACUAAUUGGGACUGCUCCAGUGUUUGACUUUUACUUUUUAGGGAAAGUCAUGAAUUUCAUAAUAUUAAUUUCUUUUUCUCUAUAAAUUCCUAUUGUAAAAACAUCCUUAUUGUGGUGGAGAUGGCGAAGAUUGUUGAUUACUAAACUAAAUGCUUUGCUGCUGGUUUGGUAUACUGAGUUCAAAACCUGAAUACUUAAUUUUGAUCUGUCUCCAGGUUUGAUACAAUACCAGUGUAAUACUGAGAGGUGUUCAAUUGACUAUACUCUUUGUCCAUAAAAAGAAUUGCAAAUAUGCCAGGCCAAAGCAUCAUUAUUGUUGCAGGUAUUUGAUGGUAGAGUAAGUUCUCUACAAAUGUACCUCCUAGUUUGGGUCUGAUUUUUGUUUACAAUGGCUUCCUUUUAAUUUGCAAUGCCUGUUUCUUUGGGAAAACCAGACAAUAUCUAAUUAAAGAAAUAAUUAUUAUCCUUAUGAUCUCUGUAGGUCAUCAUGUUGUUUCAAUGCCUUCUUUUCCUGUAGUACAAGGCACAAUUCAGUUGUUUAUGCAAUGUCUUUUCAGUGAAUGCAUUUCAUAUUUUCAGUUUAUGGGGCAUCAUAGAAUAUUAGAUUCACCUUGAGAUGCUAUACUGUGUAGGGUACUGGCUCUGGAGGUAACCACACCACACCCUAGGGGAGCAUUAAGUAUCAUGGAGAGACAGUGAGCAAUGCAUUUUUUGCAAUUACCAUCUUUAUUGCAAAGAAGUUGAGUGUGGAAGUAGGUGUUAAACAUUUUAGGUGGGCGUUCAGCAAAAUGUUUGGGAAACAUUGGUGUAAAGCUGUGAUUCUCAAAUGAGUCACUGCAAGAUGUUUCUAAAUGGACCAGAAGUUUUAAAAAAUAUCAUUUACGACUUUAGAAAACUAAUACUUAAUGUUUGAAUGUCUGGAAAAAUGUGUUAUAAUUUUACAUAAGUUAGUUUUUAUAUCUAUUUUGCUCUUUUUUUUUCCCAUACAAGCAUGGAUUAGAUGUAUGUGUUAUUGAAGCAUUGUUUUAUAACCAGAUGCUUUUCCUACUGCCUACCCUUACAUGUUUACAUGUAAGGGAUCUCUUAUUUUACACAUCUUUGAAAGUACUAAGUGAGCAGAUAAUGUGUUCACAGGAGAAAUGACAUCACUUGUAGUGAGCAGCUUUAGUAGAGCACAAAUGUAAAUUCACAUACAUGAUGAUGUUUCAAUUUCUGUCUUCAAAUUUCUUUCACAAUGCUUUGGUUGGCCUGGGUCUACAACAGAAGACAUUUGUCCAAGGUGCCAUGCAGUGGGACUGAACCUGAAACCAUGUGGUUGGGAAGCCAUACCCAAGAUAAGAAACCAUUUUUGUUUAAACAUUCCGUGCAAACUGUGCCAAUAAUUUAUGGUUUGACCUCUAAUGUGCCAUAAGGUCAAAAAGGGAUGGUCACCAUGGAUAAUGUAGUCCUUGAUACAUUUUGAUAUGUCAGCUUGAUCAAAGCUAAACUAAGCUUAAGAAACAACUGGUGGUUAUUUUAUUGACCCUGGAAGAAUAAAAAGCAGUCAACAGGGCAAGAUUUGAACUUGGAAUUUAAUAUAAGGCAUUUAAACUGGCAUUUGAACCGUUUCUGCUCAUUCACUAUUGUUAAAGUGAUAUUAUGAAUUUUUAACAUAGGCAUUGGGCCUUAUGUUGUGGUGAGGAGUAAGUAUAGUCAAUUGUAUCAACCCAUAGUACUUUGUCUGGUAUUAUUUUAUCAAUCCCUUGAUGAGAUUUGAACUCAGAAUAUAACUAAAAGCUGUUUACAACUAUUUUGUCCUGCACUAAGUGGAUUCUACCAAUCCAUCACUUAAAAGUGAUAAUAACAAUAUCAAAAGUAUCAAACUGAUCAUAUUUGAUAGUUUCAUGGCUCAAUCUUUAAGUUUAACUACUGUCAGAAUAAUAUUUGAUUAAUAAAUCUGUGAAGGGUUUAAAUGGAGAGGGUUUGCUACAAAACCAAGUCCUACCUCGUCCUUGUCUCCUUAAUUGGCUUGGCAGCUAAAAAGGCAUUGCUUUAAUAAAAGCCAUGAAUGAAACAUAGUGUGAUGAGGUAAAGGAAUUGUGUUACAGUUUCUGUGAAUGUUAAUACUGGCUGUGCUCAACAUUAUUUUGUGAAAUAAUUACCAAAGUGUUUAAAUGAUAGUAUACUACCUUUUAAAUAAUGAAAAAAAAACAAAAAACAAAAAAAAACUGUAAAAAGACUAAAAAUUUAAAUUCACUCACUAAAUGAUUUUGCUGUUGAACAGUAUGUAACAAAUUUAAGUCAGCUAUUUUUUGUUGUACAAACAUGGCACUUCAUGUUAAUGGUUCUGGUUCUUCCACAGAUCUCAGGCCAGCUAAAUAUUUCUUUUGUUUUACUUUUGUAAUACAAAAUGAAUUUUAAUAACAUCUGAUCUCUGAUUUAGUUUAUACUUAUUUUGACUUUGAAGUUACUUCAUGAUAAAAACUAUAAAAAACAUUAUGAACAUUUCUCUUUAUUGAAAAAAUAAAUAAUAAUAAAAACUCAUGAACUAAUAUACUGAUGAUAAUUAUUUGUAAUUUUUUUAAUUUUUGUUAUCUCAAAAUAUUAGGAACAAAAUACAAUGUGACAUGAUAUUGUGACACUAAUUAAUUAAUGUGAUGGACUUUAGGAACAAAGGUCACAAGUUCAAAUGGUGACACCUGUUUUAUAUUGUAUCGUAGUUGUCCUUAAUUUAAAUUAACAGAAAAAAAGAAGAAGAAAAAGUACCUAACUUUUGUAUCUAAGUUAAAACUUGUACUGACAGUUCAUGUACAACUGUAGCUUGAUUGGAUCAAACCUGGUGCAUCUUUUACAAUUUUCAGAAGGCAGUUGCCUGAUUUUCCUAAUAUAUUUUCUGUGCAUAAUCACUUCUUUACCAAUCAAUAAAAAAAGUUUAAUAAAAUAAAAUAAAAUAAAAUAUCAUCAAAA